rnacentral:rRNA from 1 species
GAGUUGACGUCGUCGCGUCAGGACGAACGCUGGCGCGUGCCUAACACAUGCAAGUCGAACGGGGCGAAGGGAGCUUGCUCCUGGAGCCUAGUGGCGGACGGGUGAGUAACGCGUGAGUAACCUGCCUUUCAGAGGGGGAUAACAUUCUGAAAAGGAUGCUAAUACCGCAUAAAGUCAGAGUGUACGCAUGGCGCACUGACCAAAGGAGCAAUCCGCUGAAAGAUGGACUCGCGUCCGAUUAGCUAGUUGGCGGGGUAAAGGCCCACCAAGGCGACGAUCGGUAGCCGGACUGAGAGGUUGAACGGCCACAUUGGGACUGAGACACGGCCCAGACUCCUACGGGAGGCAGCAGUGGGGAUAUUGCACAAUGGGGGAAACCCUGAUGCAGCAACGCCGCGUGAGUGACGAAGGUCUUCGGAUUGUAAAACUCUGUUCUUGGUGAAGAUAAUGACGGUAGCCAAGGAGAAAGCUCCGGCUAACUACGUG